AUGAUGUCAAGCGUGACUGACUCUCAGAUUAGAGAGGAGGCCCAGUGAGGCUGUCUGCUUCAUUUAUUGAGUGACACUUAGUGUGUCCAGAUGCCCUGCACACAGUACGUCCUUCAUAGACAUUGUUAAAUGAACUCCAACCAGAACCACCCCAGGUUGGAAUGCUCGGGUG